rnacentral:lncRNA from 1 species
UUUGAUGCGAAAAUAUGAAAAUUAUAUUUUUCGAAACUUGAUCAAGUUAACACUAAAUAGAUUAACAAUCACCAAAGAUGAAUAUGAUGGUACACAAGGUAUUCAAUUGAUUCAGUUAUAUAAUCAAUGCGGUGUGUUUAUACAACGCUUCAAUAUAGUUAAUUCUAACCUUAAUUAUUUAUCAGAAUUUAAUCACCAAAUCGGCUCAA